rnacentral:rRNA from 1 species
GCCAGCAGCCAUAUCACCCUGCAGCUCUCAACAGGCCACCCACUGAAGCUCAGCAGGGCUGAGCCUCGUCAGUACCUGGAUGUGAGACCUCCUGGGAAGCUAUGGUUGCUGCUGAAA